UGUGGGAGCUGGCUUGCCUGCGAUACAGGCACCUCGGUGCAUCAGUUGCACCGGGUUGAUGCUAUCGCAGGCAAGCCAGCUCCCACA
rnacentral:ncRNA from 2 species